AGAGUGAACGCUGGCGGUAGGCCUAACACAUGCAAGUCGAACGGCAGCACAGUGGUAGCAAUACCAUGGGUGGCGAGUGGCGGACGGGUGAGGAAUACAUCGGAAUCUACCUUUUCGUGGGGGAUAACGUAGGGAAACUUACGCUAAUACCGCAUACGCCCUUUGGGGGAAAGCCGGGGAUCGCAAGACCUGGCGCGGAUAGAUGAGCCGAUGUCGGAUUAGCUAGUUGGUGAGGUAAUGGCUCACCAAGGCGACGAUCCGUAGCUGGUCUGAGAGGAUGAUCAGCCACACUGGAACUGAGACACGGUCCAGACUCCUACGGGAGGCAGCAGUGGGGAAUAGUUGGAACAAGUGGGCGCAAGCCUGAUCCAGCCAUACCGCGGUGGGUAGAAGGAACGGCCGUUUACGGUUGUAAACGUCCCGUUUUAGUAGGAAAGUAAAGACAAGUCGGUUAA
rnacentral:rRNA from 1 species